UACGGGGGGAGCAAGCGUUGCUCGGAAUGACUGGGCGUAAAGGGCGCGCAGGCGGCCAUGUCAGCCAGGCGUGAAAGUCCCGGGCUCAACCUGGGGGUGGCGUUUGGGACGGCGUGGCUUGAGUUGGGGAGAGGGUUGUGGAAUUCCCAGUGUAGAGGUGAAAUUCGUAGAUAUUGGGAAGAACACCGGUGGCGAAGGCGGCAGCCUGGCCCUUGACUGACGCUGAGGCGCGAAAGCGUGGGGAGCAAACAGG
rnacentral:rRNA from 1 species